UCGAGGGGCAUCGGGGCGAGGAGCAAUCCUUGCCGCCGGCGACCGGCGCACGGGUGAGUAACGCGUAUGCGACCUGCCCGUUGCAGGGGGAUAAUCGGGAGAAAUCCCGUCUAAUACCGCGUAACGCCGCGGGGCUGCAUGGCCCUGCGGCCAAAGGAAGCGAUUCCGGCAACGGAUGGGCAUGCGUGACAUUAGCUAGUUGGCGGGGCAACGGCCCACCAAGGCGACGAUGUCUAGGGGUUCUGAGAGGAAGGUCCCCCACACUGGUACUGAGACACGGACCAGACUCCUACGGGAGGCAGCAGUGAGGAAUAUUGGUCAAUGGGCGCGAGCCUGGACCAGCCAAGUCGCGUGAGGGAUGACGGCCCUACGGGUUGUAAACCUCUUUUGUCGGGGAGCAAAUUCCGCCACGUGUGGCGGAGUCGAGAGUACCCGAAGAAAAAGCAUCGGCUAACUCCGUGCCAGCAGCCGCGGUAAUACGGAGGAUGCGAGCGUUAUCCGGAUUUAUUGGGUUUAAAGGGUGCGUAGGCGGACUGUCAAGUCAGCGGUAAAAUACGGGGGCUCAACCUCCGCCCGCCGUUGAAACUGACGGUCUCGAGUGGGCGAGAAGUAUGCGGAAUGCGUGGUGUAGCGGUGAAAUGCAUAGAUAUCACGCAGAACUCCGAUUGCGAAGGCAGCAUACCGGCGCCCAACUGACGCUGAAGCACGAAAGCGUGGGUAUCGAACAGGAUUAGAUACCCUGGUAGUCCACGCAGUAAACGAUGAAUACUAGCUGUCCGGGGCGAAUGAGCCCUGGGUGGCACAGCGAAAGCGU
rnacentral:rRNA from 1 species